GCUCUUAAAGCGCACACUUCCUGCAGGCGCCGCCCCACGCGCCCCCCGCCAGAAUCAGAGCUUGGGGUUUGAGGCUUGGGACCGGGACCCAGAGCCAAGCUUCAGCUUUUGGAGAAGUUAAGUCCCAAGUGACCAGAUGAAAAAUGGCUCGCGAAGCAACAUGUGAAUUCGGGCAAGGAGAAUGGCGUUCAAGGGGUUAAUGAAGAGCUUGGUUGCCCAGAGUCUGCAGUGAGGUGCCUCAACCAAAAGCUGCUUUUCAAAGACCCGUUUACUCAGGGCUAGACACUGUUUUAAGAAACACUGAAGAGAGACAAGAUGGCUUGGAGAUCACCUGAAGUCACUGACUCCUACUUAGAUCAAGAAGGUCCCAGGGUUUGAACUCGGGUUGUCAGGUUUACAUGGCAAGCUGAGUCAUCUUGCCUAUCACCAGCAUUUUCAUGUCACAGAAGAUGAACUGCACGGAAAAAAAAUCACAGCAAUCAACAGCUGACUCAAAACAUGAGUCACAAAAAUUAAGAGAGAGCACCAUCUGAAUGGAGAGAGCACCAUCUGAAUGGAGAGAGCAAGCAAGGAGUGCUGUAUUUACAGAAAGGGUAAGCACAAGUGGCCCGGGCACCCGAGGAUCACGAUGGCUCUUCAGUUAGCUGUCAGCGCGCAAUAUAAAUCCUUGCUAUGUGAGCAAGUUGGAUCCAAUUCUUCAUCAAAGGUACUGUGCUCAUGGAGGCUGUCAGAUGCUCCCUGUCAUAUGAAUCCGCAUCCGCAGUCCAGAGGCCAGAGGAAAGGGGAUCAGCAGGGACAGAAGACAAACCUUCAGAAAUGCUGUGCAGAAAAGGCCGCC
rnacentral:lncRNA from 1 species